CAGCCGCCGCGGUAAUACGAAGGGUGCAAGCGUUAAUCGGAAUUACUGGGCGUAAAGCGUGCGUAGGCGGUGAGUUAAGUCUGCUGUGAAAUCCCCGGGCUCAACCUGGGAAUGGCAGUGGAUACUGGCUCGCUAGAGUAUGGCAGAGGGGGGUAGAAUUCCACGUGUAGCAGUGAAAUGCGUAGAGAUGUGGAGGAAUACCGAUGGCGAAGGCAGCCCCCUGGGCCAAUACUGACGCUCAUGCACGAAAGCGUGGGGAGCAAACAGGAUUAGAUACCCCCGUAGUCCCUGUCUCUUAUAC
rnacentral:rRNA from 1 species